GUGAGGAAUAUUGGACAAUGGGUUAGCGCCUGAUCCAGCCAUCCCGCGUGAAGGACGACGGCCCUAUGGGUUGUAAACUUCUUUUGUACAGGGAUAAACCUACUCUCGUGAGAGUAGCUGAAGGUACUGUACGAAUAAGCACCGGCUAACUCCGUGCCAGCAGCCGCGGUAAUACGGAGGGUGCAAGCGUUAUCCGGAUUUAUUGGGUUUAAAGGGUCCGUAGGCGGAUCUGUAAGUCAGUGGUGAAAUCUCACAGCUUAACUGUGAAACUGCCAUUGAUACUGCAGGUCUUGAGUAAGGUAGAAGUGGCUGGAAUAAGUAGUGUAGCGGUGAAAUGCAUAGAUAUUACUUAGAACACCAAUUGCGAAGGCAGGUCACUAUGUCUUAACUGACGCUGAUGGACGAAAGCGUGGGGAGCGAACAGG
rnacentral:rRNA from 1 species